rnacentral:rRNA from 1 species
UUGCGAACGGCUGAGUAAUGGAUAGGAAUCUCCCCAAUGGUGUGGAAUACCUCAUCGAAAGAUGAGCUAAUACCGCAUAACAUCGCAAGAUAAAAGCGCUUAACUGCGCGCCGAUGGAUGAGCCUAUCUCCCAUCAGGCUGUUGGUAGGGUAAUGGCCUACCAAACCUAUGACGGGUAGGGGGCGUGAGAACGCGUUCCCCCAGAAUGGGACUGAGACACGGCCCAUACACCUACGGGUGGCAGCAACAGGGAAUCGUACGCAAUGGACGAAAGUCUGACGUCGCAAUGCCGCGUGGAGGAUGAAGGCCUUCGGGUUGUAAACUCCUUUUACAGUAAUUGAGAAGUUAUUGAGAAUAAGCACCUGCUAACUCUGUGCCAGCAGCCGCGGUAAUACAGAGGGUGCAAGCGUUAUCCGGAUUUAUUGGGCGUAAAGCGUUUCGUAGGUUAUUAGGUAAGUUAUUCUUCAAAGACCACGGCUCAACCGGGGGAAGGGGAGUAAUACUGCCUGAAUUGAAAUAUGGUGGGGCUUCUGGAACUGAUGGUGUAGUAGUGAAAUACGUUGAUAUCAUCAGGAACUCCGAGGGCGUAGGCAAGAAGCUAACCAUUUUUUGACACUGAUGAACGACAGCUAGGGUAGCGAAAGGGAUUAGAGACCCCUGUAGUCCUAGCCGUAAACUUUGCUCGCUAGGGGUUAGUAAUUUAUUACUUGCCCCGUAAGCUAACGCGUUAAGCGAGCCGCCUGGGGAGUACGGCCGCAAGGCUAAAACUCAAAGGAAUUGACGGGGACCCGCACAACCAGUGGAGCAUGUGGUUUAAUUCG